rnacentral:misc_RNA from 1 species
GAAGGGUUGAAAGACUCCUAAACCCACUGAAAACCUACCUAUAUCGUUUGCUUCGGCGGGCGGCCCCAGGGCGGGGCCUUCUACGGGUGCCCGCCGACGGCCCCUAUAAACUCUUGUUGUUUGGGCACUCUGAGCAAGAUCAAAAUGAGUCA